rnacentral:rRNA from 1 species
CGAUAAGCUGGAGGAAGGUGGGGAUGACGUCAAGUCAUCAUGGCCUUUAUGUCCAGGGCUACACACGUGCUACAAUGGACGGUACAAACCGCAGCGAUCCCGCGAGGGGGAGCAAAUCGGAAAAAACCGUUCUCAGUUCGGAUUGCAUGGAAAGGCCGCACCUGCAUGAAGCUGGAAUCGCUAGUAAUGGUA